GGAGCGGUAGUUCAGUUGGUCAAGAAUUCCGGCCUGUCAAGCCGGGGGUCGCGGGUUCAAGUCCCGUCCGCUCCGCCA
rnacentral:tRNA from 1 species